rnacentral:rRNA from 1 species
UACGUAGGGCGCAAGCGUUGUCCGGAAUUAUUGGGCGUAAAGAGCUCGUAGGUGGUCUGUUGCGUCCGCUGUGAAAACCCAGGGCUUAACCCUGGGCUGGCAGUGGAUACGGGCAGACUAGAGGUAGGUAGGGGAGAAUGGAAUUCCGGGUGUAGCGGUGGAAUGCGUAGAGAUCCGGAAGAACACCGGUGGCGAAGGCGGCUCUCUGGGACGGUACUGACGCUGAGACGCGAAAGCGUGGGGAGCGAACAGG